rnacentral:rRNA from 1 species
GACGAACGCUGGCGGCGCGCCUAACACAUGCAAGUCGAGCGAGAACCAGGGCUUCGGCCCUGGGGACAGCGGCGAACGGGUGAGUAACACGUGGAUAACCUGCCCUCGGCACCGGAAUAGCCCGGGGAAACUCGGAUUAAUGCCGGAUAGCCCCACAUCCCUGCGGGGAACGUGGGGAAAGGUAGCUUCGGCCUCUGGCCGGGGACGGGGCGGCGGUGGAUUAGCUUGUUGGCGGGGUAACGGCCCACCAAGGCGACGAUCCAUAGCUGGUCUGAGAGGAUGAUCAGCCACACUGGGACUGAGACACGGCCCAGACUCCUACGGGAGGCAGCAGUGGGGAAUCUUGCGCAAUGGGCGAAAGCCUGACGCAGCGACGCCGCGUGCGGGAAGAAGGCCUUCGGGUUGUAAACCGCUUUCAGGAGGGACGAAGCCACUCGGGUGAAUAGCCCAGAGGGUGACGGUACCUCCAGAAGAAGCCCCGGCUAACUACGUGCCAGCCGCCGCUGUAAAAC